AAUUGGGAGAAAUGAGAAGGAGGAGGUAUGUGGGGAUUCCUUUUCAGGAAAAGUACCCGAAAUUAGUUUGCUGAAAUAAGAAGCAGUUGGUGAGUAUUUUGACCGCUUUAAAGAAAAAAUUCUUUUGGACAAAGGAGAUGUUAACUAUUUGUAGGUGUUUACUUCAUAGAGGAACUGUUCCUUGGUUAUGUUGGAUAGAAGAACCAGGAGAUGGUGGUAAAAGGUAAAAGAGGAUAGGAACCUUCAUGAUUUGGGUACAAAGUGAUGGUGAGUAUUUGUACAACAUAAAAGAGGAGAGGGACAUCUAUGAUUUGGGGAAAAGGAGAUGGUAAGUAUUUGGACAACGUAAAAAAGCACAGGAACUUAUAUGAUGUUGGGAAAAGACCAGAAGAUGGUGAGUAUUUGUACAACCUUUGGCCAAUCACCAGGGAAGGAUGAUUUCCAUUCUUCCAAUAUGUUUGGUGAGUUCCUGUCCUUCAAUUGGCUGAGUGACUUUGUGCCAAUCAGACGGAGAAGGUGAGUUCUAUUCCUGCAAUUCUCUCAACGGAGACCUUGGACCAAUAGCCUAAAAAUGGUUAUUUCUCUUCCUAUAUUAGGCAUGGUGAGUUCUAGUCCUGGAAUACUCAUGAGAAGCAGCUGUAUCACCUUGAGCCAAUCCCCAGGCGAUGAGAGGGCCAUCCUAGUGACCUUAGGCCAACCCUUCCUUCUCAGCCCUAGAAAGGAGGCAAGGGCAAUCCACUCCUGGAAACCUUGCCUGGACUUGGUCAGACUGUCUUCGAGAACUGGACCCGACUGAACGGAAGGGAAAAAGAGGAACAGAUGAAGAAGAUGGAAGGGACCCUCCUCAGCGCAUCCUGUCCUGGCUCAGACCCCAGUGAGGCUGGGCAGAGGCCCCUUCGACCCCCAAGAGACCAACGACCCCCAUUGGGUGAUGCAAAGUCAGCGACUGAAGUGGGACCCAUUUCACCAGGCGAUUGCAGAAGGAGAUAAACCCACUUGAUGCUGCCCCGUAUCGUCCGACAAGCGUAGAGUCCCCACAACCCAUGAAUCCAAAUGGAACUAAUCUGGGCAUGCUGGCUGGGAAUUCUGGGAGUUGAAGUCCAUGCAUCUCAAAGUCACCAAGUUGGAGAUUUGAGGCUCCAGGUGUCUGCAGGGAGCUGACUUUCCCCAACAGAAUAAUCAAAAUAAAUAAGGAAGGAACAGAUCAGGGGCAUCCAGGAGAAUGUCUGAACAUACAGCUACCCACGAGGGCAUCUCUGCCACCCUAACCCGAUUCCUGGCACAGCACCUCUUUUCCCAAUGACCUGACCGCUUCACAGAAGAAGUCUACCUGGACUCGUCUCGAUGGGAUUCUUAAUUUAUUCCUAAUAAAUGUGCCAAGAGAAAUCAU